rnacentral:misc_RNA from 1 species
CCGUCGGUUCGUCACACAACCUGGAAUGUGGUCAUCGGCGGAGGAUUCUUCUGGAUGGCAAUCUACGGCAUCAACCAGGCUCAGGUACAACGGGCCAUCUCCGUACCGUCCAUAAAACACGCCAGAACGGCAAUCUGGCUGAAUUUCCCUGGCAUGUUGAUCAUUCUUUCCCUUGUGUGCAGUGUUGGAGUUGUUAUGUAUGCGUACUAUUCCACGUGUGAUCCUGUCAGUUUGAAGAUUAUCAGCAAAACUGAUCAAUUGAUCCCUCUUUUUACGAUGGACCUGCUGGGGCACCUAAAUGGACUGCCUGGGCUGGUUCUCUCCUGUGUAUUCAGCGGCAGUCUAAGUACUAUUUCUUCUGGUCUGAAUGCUGUGGCGGCUGUUUUGUUAGAAGACUUCGUCAAACCUUACUGCUGCAAGAAAAUCUCGGGUUAUGCUGCAACACUCUUCUCCAAAGCUACAGUGGUUGGCUGCGGAUUAAUUUGUCUGGCGAUGGCGUAUUUUGUCUCUGAGCUGGGCGCAAUUUUACAGCUCGCUUACGUUUUGUUUGGCAUUCUUGGGGGACCGCUGUUGGGGCUAUUUACUUUUGGCAUGCUGUGCCCCUGGGGAAACAAAUGGGGAGGAAACAUUGGUCUCAUCACCGCGCUGGCCUUCGUCGCCUGGAUCGGACUGGGCACGUCAAUCAACAGCGUGGUUAUCACCCCCAAGUCUCCGCUGACCACCGCUGGGUGUAACAUGACGGCCAUCAACGCUCUGAAGGCACUGGCCACCACCGCCGCCCCCACUACAGCCGCUGUCCUCGCCAGCACCACCCCUGCGACGGCGGCACCGCCAAAGGACUAUUUUCUUCUGUACCGGAUGUCCUACAUUUGGUAUACCGCUCUCGCUGUCAUAACUGUGCUUUUCGUUGGUACCAUCGUAAGUCUCAUAACAGGAGGCCAUAAAAAAAUGCGCGAGUUGGAUCCUCGAGUUAUCUGUCCCUUCUUUGAUGUAUUCAUGCCGUUUUUACCGGAGUCUUUUCGUUGUAAAGCGCGAUGUGGUGUCAGGCACGGCGAUGAGGAGUUCAUAGCUACUUUUAUAAAACAUCAAGAAGAGAAGUUACGACAUAAUGGAGUACACAACGAAGCUCUCGAUGUCUCUGACAUCAACUUGUCUGAAAAGAAAGUUCAAAACGGCCACACGAUCACCAAUGGCGACUAUUCAACAAAACUAUAAAAUCUCACGGUAACGAGACUUUACGCGAGCCUGAGAUACCCGAAAUCCAUCUAUAAAUCAGUUUUAUCGUUCAUUCUGUCUAACUUUACAAUUUUAAUGUAUAUUCAAGAAUUUUUACAUUAGAAAUGACGUUGAAAAUUCUUGUUAUGUGGAAGACGAAUUUUUCAAAGUACAUUCUGCAUGUAAGCUGACAUCCAACUUUUUUGUACAUGUACGUAUCUUGAAGCAAACUGUUGUGACACAAUCUUAUAUUUUUUUUAUUGAGUUUUACAACGCCGUUUACGAUAUAUGCAUACUUUCAGUUGUUUGCAGAUAAGACCAUGUGUUCCAAUAUUUUUCAUUAGAGACCAAUGUACAUGUAUAGAUAUAUAGGUAGUGAUUUACUUUUUUAUUUUUUUUUUAAUAUGUUCAUGUAGUAUGCUCUUCAGAUUAUGGAUAUCCUUUCGUAUGUACAUAUUUGUUCAAAUUUUAGAAAUAUACAUAUAGUUUUAUAUUUUUCCAAUUGAAUGAGGAAAAUGGAUAUAUUUUUAAACAGUGUAGAACAUUUAAACAUGUUUACUUUUAUGUGAACCUCUGGAUGACACACUGUAUAUGAAUUUUGAUACUUAUGUACGUAUCCAAUAAAGCGAAUGGAAAAUU